rnacentral:rRNA from 1 species
GACGAACGCUGGCGGCGUGCUUAACACAUGCAAGUCGAACGGAAAGGCCCUGCUUUUGUGGGGUGCUCGAGUGGCGAACGGGUGAGUAACACGUGAGUAACCUGCCCUUGACUUUGGGAUAACUUCAGGAAACUGGGGCUAAUACCGGAUAGGAGCUCCUGCUGCAUGGUGGGGGUUGGAAAGUUUCGGCGGUUGGGGAUGGACUCGCGGCUUAUCAGCUUGUUGGUGGGGUAGUGGCUUACCAAGGCUUUGACGGGUAGCCGGCCUGAGAGGGGGACCGGGCACCAUGGGACUAAGGGAAGGCCCAGAAUGCUACCGGAGGCAAUGGGGGGGAAUAUGGCAGAAUGGGGCGGAGCCAGAAGUCACAACCCCGGGAUCGGGAAAACGGGCUUUGAGGUGUAAACCGAUUUCGCCGGUGACGAAGCCGGAGUGACGGUAAUUGGUAAAGAAGCACCGGCUAACUACGUG